AAUAUGAAAGGACAGAAAAAAAUUCAUGAUUUUUCUACUAGUCUCCCAUAUUAAAAUCAUGCUUGAAGAAAUGAAAUGUGGUGUAUAUAGAACGGUUUUCUUUUUCUUUUUUUGAGACAGAGUCUUGGCUGUGUUUCCCAGGCUGGAGUGCGGUGGUGCUAUCACACGACUCAGUGCAACCUCAGCCUCCCAGAUUCAAGUGAUGCUUGUACCUCAAACACCCGAAUUGCUGAUAUUGCAGAAUCAGGUACCGUGGCUUCUAAGUACUUUAUUCUCCAGCAUCUCAUGGCAUUCAUUCAGAAAAAAUGGCACAUAUUUAUUCGAAGGGAACAGCAAGUUAUAUCAGCUUGAAGAAAAAAAACAAAUGUUGAGGUAUACCUCCUCCACGGUGGUAUCUGAAAUGCCGUAGCACCCGAUGUUGAGGUCACCCAUGCCGUUGUCAAGUGCUCGUAGGAGUGACAGCGUGAGGUGAUACCCAUCGCCAAAGGCUUCCUUGAGGUAAAAUGGGGACCCACAGCACCGAAGCCCACCCUGCUCCAGGA